rnacentral:lncRNA from 1 species
CCACGCCCAAAGCCCCAUCCCAGCCCGAGGCCUGGCUGCCGGCCUGGCUCUCUACACCCCUGUGCGCUCCACUUUUCUCCAGCUUACCGGCUGCACUGAGAUGGAAACGUCCCUUCUAGAAUUUUCUAUCAGUGGGUGGGGGUGGACUAACGGAACCAGCAAUGGGGCAGCUGCAGUGUUCCCCUAGAGAGAGUCUGCGGGACAGGACCGCUGUGGCCAGCAGGCACCUGCCCUCACCCCCUGCACAUCCCCGCACACCUCAGUGGCUGACCCAGUGCAGGGAGGAGGCCAGGGCCUCAGGACCCCCCAGGGCAGAGCUCCCAUGAGGAUGUGGCCAUCUGAGAGGGCCAGGCCCUCCCAGGUCCUGUGCUGGGUGACCUCACACCUUCCCCACACUGAUAAUUUAUUCAUUCACAGGACACAGACCAGGCACUAAGACGCCCUGGGCCUGCACUCAAAUGGCGCUUCCUUCAUUGUGACAGUUGCAUGACACCAGGGAUGGCCCCCACCUGCCCUUCUGAGCCCUGCAGCCCACCUGCACAUCUGGCCCACAGUCGCCCAAAAGACAGCAGGUGUCCGGGCACUUCCAGCCCCACCAGGCAGUGAGCCAGGCCCCUCGCUCAAAGCCUAAGAUGAAGAAGGCAGAGAGUAACGUGACAGAGGCCAUCAGAAAAAGCAGGGACAGAGCACGAGGAGCAAGCGUGUGUCGCAGGUGAGCCUCACUGUCCCAGACAGUGGGAUCACACCUGUGAGGAAGGCAGGCUGGGACAUUGGGGAGAAGCUUCCAGAAGCCAUCACAGAGGCCACUCCCCGGGAGCAGCUGUCUGGUGAGUGUUGGACUCCAUCCUACAUGGGCUGCCCUGAGCCAGGACAGAAGGACAGAGCUUCACAUCCCAGCAGGAAGGAGCUCAGCUCAGGUGGCUCUCAGCGAGGUGACACAGGGAACCUGGGGGAGGGCAGAGCCGUCAUACUAAGGGAAGCCAUGGGAGGGUCAGGUGACCACCCUGGAGAAGGACAAAGGACAACCAUGCCACACCCAUCACAGAAAGCAGGUGCUGGGGCCCAGGUGACAGCAGCCCAGACAGGGAGGACCAGCAAGAUGUCCUCUGGAGAAGGGCUAACAGGCCUGGGACACAGGGACAGAGCUGUGGAGUGUGCAGGCAGCUCCAGACAGAGGGCCUGGUACCUUUGGAGCUCCCAACCAACCCAACUGCCACAUCGCCUGACACUGGGGCCUGCAGCCAAGCCACUGCUGGGGAAGGACAGCCCCAGAGACAGCCAGGUCCCUGGGAGGGACAACGGGAGGCCUCUCCCAGGACACUGUCCACCAAGCCCAGUCCCGCUGCUCGAGCAGCACACAGAGUUGGAGAUCAGGAUCCCAGAGCAGCCCCUCUCGCCUGGCCAGAGAUGGAAGCCAUGCCACACCUGUUUCCACCCAGCACUCUCACUCAAUAAGCAAACAUUCUGGGGCCCCCAGAAGCAACCCCCCAAAUUCUCUGGAUGA